GGUACGUUCGCCUGCUCCGAAAAGAGCUACAGUGGCUGCAAAUAAGUUUUCAAUUUUCACUGCCAAAAAAAACAGACUGUUUACAGUGUUGUCUCCCCUCAAAACAUGUAUAUUUAAUCAUUAUUUUAAUCAUUCAACCUGCUUUAAUUGAAGUUAAUUAACAUACUUUUACAACCAAAUACAAAAAACAUGAUACUUUGUCACAAAUUAUGUUGAUAAAAAGGGACUUCCCUCCAUGUCUAUUUUUAGUUUGGGAAUAACCCCUAGUUUUUUAAACGAAACUGUUUAUAGCACCCUUACAAAAAAUCAUUAAAAUGCAUAUUUCUUCAUAGCAUUUUGGUGACAGUGGUUUCUUUGAAUGAAACUUUCAAGAAAAGAUGGUUCUUUGACAAGACUAUUUGGAAAUGUUUGCUCUGCAAUCUGUUCUGAAGUGUACCACAUCAAAAUAAAUUAAAAUUCAAUUUCAUAAUUGGUACAAGAAAUAACAAUGCUGAUGAUCCUUAAAAAUAAACAAAUGAAAACACAUACAAACACUGGGACUAUUUAACAGCAGCCAUCUAUUGAUCAACUAAAUAUAAAAAUUACUUCAAUUUGCAAUAUAAAAAAUUUUGAAAUAAUAGUAUGCAUAAGCACAAAUUUUGUUCUAAACUAAAGUGUGUACUUCACUAUGAAGUAAAUAUCAUAAAAGGAAGACGUUUUUCCCCUUUACUUAUUCAAGAUGUUUAGUUUGCCCUUUCAUAAUAUUAAUUGGUUAAAUACUUUAUCAAUUUGCAGUUUGAAUUCAUUUCAUUAAACUGAUGAAAAAUUUCAGCACCUUGGUUAUGUGAGAGAAAGGUAAUUUAAAUUAACAUGUGUCAUCCUAUUCAUGUGACUGACUUUCUGUUUCUUAAUUAGUUUGGAAAAUUCAAAUAAUUUGUAAGAUGUACAUAAGUAUAAAAGUAAUGACUUCAAUAUGAAAUCUACUGCAAUAAUUUUUGUUCACAUAAUCUUUUCCAAACUAUUGUUUCAAUGAGUAUAAAUGUAUUCCCUUUUUCUCAAAUCAAAAGUUGUUGAACAAUCUUACCUUUUUUUAACUAGUGUGUCUGAUAACUAAACUUGGUAUUAUUUUUCUUCAAUCUUCUUUGUGAAAAAGAACCUAAAUACUUUGAAUUAAAAAGCUACAUAACAAUUUGAUGGGCACAAAAAUUUCACCUGUUGAUUCGUGUUUCAAGAAAUGAAUUUAAUCUUCAACUUUAUAAAGUGCUUUUGGUCAUUGGUAUCGUGAAAGGACAAGGUAUUUUGGAUACAUGGACUGUGUUAAUAUGGCUAAUAAAAAAAUGUCAAGCCACAGUGUUUGGUAUUGACAUUUUAAUGAUUAAAUUUUUUCCAAUAUGACUAUCGAAUAUAUAAUCUAGAAACUUCUGUUAAUAUGUAUAUGACUUAAAAAAUAAAGGUAUUGUUCCCCUUUAAAGUAUAUUUGACACUGUUAACAGUUCCAUAUGUUUUUGAAGUGAUGCAAUGACAAAAUCAUACAGCCUACAUAAAAUUUCAAAAUGGAAUUUUAUGUAAAAUUGGUUUUUCUAAAUGUUUUUUAUCUUACAACAUAGAUUGUUUUACCAAAUCCUUUAUUUCUAUUUUCUCUGCAAGGUACAAAAUGAAAUUUUAUUACAUAUAAUGUAUUCCUAUGAUCCCAUAGAUUUCUUAUUAAUAAUUUGCGGUUUCAUUGUUCUAUAAAUUCUGUGUUUUUGUCACUUUAAACGAAGAUUAAAAAAAAUUAUAACAGAUCCUUUAAAAAUAACUAAUCUACACUACUCUACAUCCAAAAUUUACACAAACAAGACAUAAAAAUCUAUAUGUACAAUAAUAUCACAGUUAAUCUUCUACAUUAAAUUAUGCAUUAAACAAUUGCAGUAUGGAUAUGUAAUAUGAAAACUCUAUGAAGAAAUCUAAUGUAGAUCAUCCUCAUGUUGCCAUAUUAAAAAUAAUAAAAUUUCUGUAUUCAUAAAACUAAAGUUGUGCCAAGUAGUUCAACUUCUCUGAACUAGGAAGAAAGCUAUCAAAAGUCAUACAAUUCAAAUAUGAAUCUGUUGCCUUGGUCAAGAUUCAAUUAUGAUCAUUCAUUUUCUUUCUUUGCCCACAACUUUUUCAGGAUUUACCAUCAACAGCCUUGUCAGAUAAUUUUGACAUAUAUUUUAACUGAACCACAGACUUAGAGGUCAGAAAAAAUUUGAAGAAACUUAUGUGAUGUGGAUGAAUAAUUUUGAAAUAACUGAAAUUUUUCAAUUCAGAUUUUAUUUGUUUCAAAUUUUUAGAUUGAAGAUUUCUUUGCAAGAUUAUGACAUCUUAAUUGACUUAAAUAACUAAACUUACUUUGAUUUUUUUUCUCUCAUAAUUUUGGUACUUUUAUAAAAGCAGUUAUUAAUCAACUCUAAACAUAUCUGAAUUAGAGCUCAAAAUUAUACCCAGCUCAAGAUGACUCUUGUAGUUGCUGAGAAAAAAAUGUCACCAAAAUUUCAGAAUCAUUUGUAAUUGGAUCACAUUUCAAAAAUGGUAUUUCUACAAUAAGGAGGUAGAAAAUAAAAGAAACCGAAAAUAUUGAACACAUAGUAGCAUAACCUGAUGAAGCUUGGUGUAAAGUUGACACCAGAAUAGUCUUUACACUCAAAAUAAUGUUCUGAGACAGCUUUUCCUAUAAGGUAAGAAAUUUUUCAAAACAAAAACUUUUACUGAUAAAUAUUUUAAAAUUGAAGGCAUCUAUUGAUUUCAAAGAUGAGGCAAGAAUUUUCAAUGUUUUCUAAAAGUAUUACAAGCACAUUAAGCAAGUCACUUAAUAUGUAAUGUAGACUAACUAAAUGAUUGUGUGGUUUUAUUUCAAUAGUAUAUAGCUGUUUCCCCCAAUUCAAUGAAGUAAAACAAUGAAAUCAGCAAAAAAGAGGUAGAUAUCAACAAUAGUUUUAGGUAGAUAUUCUGAGUAAUAACUGCAUUGCCAAGAGAUAUACCCUCCAUUACAUAUGAGGCGUUCUAAUGAAAGAUAAACAUUCUCUCACUAUUAGAUGAUUAUAAAUGUAUCAAAAUAUUGCAUAAAUAUAAAGUUCAGGAUGAUCCAACAGUCAUAUCUAAUCUAUUUACUGACUGUCGUCAGAAUAAAUGAAAGAAAAAAUAUAGCAAUGAACAGAUAACUCUGUUUUAUAUGAAAAUAAAAUUUAGAUCCAGUAAGAGUUGUCCCUCUUUGAGACAAAA
rnacentral:lncRNA from 1 species